rnacentral:snoRNA from 1 species
UGAUGACAUUCUCCGGAAUCGCUGUACCGCUUUGAUGAAAGCACCUUUGAACCCUUUUCACUCUGAUGACUGAGCAGGUUUGCU